UGGUGUGGUUGUUGCUGGCCCUCUCGGGGGCAUGUGCACACCCACCAUCCUCAUCUCUCCACCUGUGCACCUCUUGUAGACCUGGAUUGACUUUCCGAGGCAACUCGGUCGGGAAGAUUGCUGCGCUCUGUGAGCCAGCUUUCUUUGCAUGUCCAGGCCUAUGUUUUUCAUAUACCCCUAUAGAAUGUAACAGAAUGUAUCAUUGGGCCUUGUGCCUAUAAACCUUAUACAACUUUCAGCAACGGAUCUCUUGGCUCUCGCAUCGAUGAAGAACGCAGCGAAAUGCGAUAAGUAAUGUGAAUUGCAGAAUUCAGUGAAUCAUCGAAUCUUUGAACGCACCUUGCGCUCCUUGGUAUUCCGAGGAGCAUGCCUGUUUGAGUGUCAUUAAAUUCUCAACCUUAUUAACUUUUGUUGAUAAUGGAUUGGAUUGUGGGGGUUUCUUUUGCUGGCUUCUUCACAGAGAUCAGCUCCCCUUAAAUGCAUUAGCUGGUGCCCCGCGUGGACCAUCUAUUGGUGUGAUAAUUAUCUACGCCGUGGAUGUCUGCAAUCAUAUGGGUUUCGCACUGCUUCUAACCGUCUGUUCAUUCGGACAAUACAUGACAAUUUGACCUCAAAUCAGGUAGGACUACCCGCUGAACUUAAGCAUAUCAAUAAGCGGAGGAAAAGAAACUAACAAGGAUUCCCCUAGUAACUGCGAGUGAAGCGGGAAAAGCUCAAAUUUAAAAUCUGGCGGUCUCCGGCCGUCCGAGUUGUAAUCUAGAGAAGUGUUAUCCGCGCUGGACCGUGUAC
rnacentral:rRNA from 1 species